rnacentral:misc_RNA from 1 species
GAAUGUAUGACAUCUUUUUCAGUAGGGUUUUUCUGCUUGCAACUAGGUGAUUUCUGCGUUCUAUUAUCUGCUGAAAUUGAAAAUUCGCUCGAUUCAGCUUGUUCCGAAAAUAGGUGAGUGUCUUCUUCUUCUUUCACUCCCUGAAUUCCAAUACCCAUGUUGUAUUUUCUCUGUAAAACUAUUCUCCAUAGGAGAAAUGGAUACUCAAUUACAGCUCAAAACCCAUCAAUACCAUUAUCAUCAUUCCUUAGAUACUUGUCUAGCGAUGCAAAUCAACUCUCGUUUACUGUUUCUUACCUCAUAAACACAUGUGGGUUGUCCCCGGA